AAACUUUCAACAACGGAUCUCUUGGCUCUUGCAUCGAUGAAGAACGCAGCGAAAUGCGAUAAGUAAUGUGAAUUGCAGAAUUCAGUGAAUCAUCGAAUCUUUGAACGCACCUUGCGCCUUUUGGUAUUCCGAAAGGCAUGCCUGUUUGAGUGUCAUN
rnacentral:rRNA from 1 species